AUGGGUGCCAACAACAGCCAGUGCAGCAGAGCGGGCGACACAUUCAAUCCCUUCAACAUGACAUCAGUGAGCUCCAGCUGUUCACUAGAAAACCCUCUGAGCUGUGUGAUGGGAGAGGUGUCGGCAAGGCAAGGAAAUGUGAGCUUGACUCAGGGACAGGUCUUCACAGACAGCAUCAUCCAGCUCACUGGAGACGAGACAGUGGUCGGCAGAUCCCUGGUGCUGAAGAGCGGAAACAGCAUCAUCGCAUGUGCAGAAAUCCUCCCAGAAUCCUCUUCAGCAGAGCAGACCUUUCCCAAUGUGACUAACUUCAGCAGAACGGACUUCCGUACUAGGGUCGCAAAUGUCCUGGGGACAGACAGGGCAAGAGUCACCAUCCUGCCUGGCUCUCCCCGCUCUGCAGCUGAUGGACAGUGCCAGACAGUCAGCUACAUGGUCUCUGGUAAGGCAACAACAUGAUCUUCCCCUAUCUACACAAUUUUGUGUCUAAUUUCCCCAAAAAAAGGGAAAUUGUGUUACAUUUCAACGCAACAACAGCACUUGACGAUGAUCUGAGGAAGUGAGUGAUCAUAAUUACACUACUCAUACUGGAAAUCACGUAUGGAAAGUUCAUUCGAUCAUUUCCAAUCAACCACAUGGUUGAAAUUCUUAACAGACACCAUCUGUCAGUACGAUGAGUGUUUGUGGCAGUCACAUUUGAUCUAACACGCCAGAGUUACUUUGAAAGAAUGUGUUCAGGGACACACGCCCUGCAUUUGGAGAUUAUUGUUAUGUUAAACUUCCCUGCUCGUGGUUUGUAUCUCCAGGUGUCAUCCAAGUUAAAAACCUCAGUGGUAUGUGAAGAAGGAAAUGGGAAUGGCAAAGAAAAAAAAACAAACAUCAAUCAUAGUUCAAAUCUGAUUUAGCAGAGGGAGUGCUGCGUGCCUUCACUAAGACAGGACGACAUCGGUUCCGUUUUUACAAAUACACCCAAAGGCUCUUGUUUGAUAUAACUUAUAUAAUUGGACCGAUGUACACCAUGUAAGUCCAUAAACACUUCAGCUACUACAGGUUUUCCAGAAUCUAUCUGGCGAGGCUGUGUGUGCCCGGGCUGUGUUCAUCGGGACAAUGAACAAUUACGGGCAUUGAAAAUCUUUAGAUGACCUGAAAAAAUUGCUCAGAAACCCGAUGCUGGAGUUGACUGUCUUUGUGUCUUACUUUCUGUCCCCGGGGGGAACAGAGGACUGUCUGUGCGGAGGUUUCACACAGUAUAGCACAGGACGGGCAUUUAUGCUCUCAGAAGUCUCCCACAAGGUGAGGGAGAGUUUACUUUUGCAGUGAUUCCCCAGAAGCCCUCUUUUAGCGUGAUUCCGGCGAUGGUGAUGACGUUUUCUGUGCUUGAGAGAAUUGAAAAUGAUUGUGAGUUAUUGACACUGAUCUCUGUCUGAUGCAAAAGUACCCGUUAAAGCAAUCACACCUCAGAAUCUGUGACUACACUGCAGCAGUUCUGGUAUAUCAGCAUCAGACUACCUCAUGGAGAAGUCCGUAGCUGCCUUUAGUCUAGUAAUCAUCAAGUGUAACAAAUCAGUAAUUACUGCUUAUGUGUAAUUAAGCUUUGCCUCGUUGUCUGUGCCUUACAGGGAAUGUCAGCACAGAGCUUCUGAUGUCAGUCAAAACCAGCGGGGAGAUGGGAGUGUAUAGAGAGUCUGAUACAUGUACAAGUAAGUACGCUCUGGACUGUAUGUGAGUCCUCCUCUCUUGUUCAAUAAAUAUUGAUUUUGAAGGAGAGCGAUUGUGAAAAUCUACUCAAGACUGUAGGUUUCAUAUAUACAUAUAUAUUUUUUAGAAUUUUCAUGAACGCAUGGCAGAUUUUAAAUUAUAAAUUCACCCAAAAAUGAAAAUUCAGUCAUUAUCAACUCUCCCCCGUGCCGAUGGAAAGUCGGGGCAAGUUACAUAGUCAAGUCAUUUCUGGAGCUUCACAGCAAACCAGUGUUGCAGCAUUUCCUAGUAGAGGGAAACUUGUUUUAAAAUGUAAUAAUGGCUCACAACAUCCAAGUCUCAAGAAGCCCUGAGAUUUAUUUGAAAACACAGUAUUUACACCCUUUCAAAGCCAAAUUAUUCACUAAGUAGCUGCUAAGCUAACACUGUUAACAAGCCCUGUAUAAGCCUGGCUGUGUGCCGAGGGUGUAAAUAUUUGUCUUUCCAAAUCAAUGGGGGAUGUCGGGGCUUCUGAAGACUUAAAUUAUGCCGGUUGAGCUGUAUGGAGCCAUUUUAUAUUUGACUGUUUUUUUCAGUUACUUUUUACAUUUUCAAACAAGUCCCCGGCUUCUUCACUUUAUUAGAAGAAUGCUUCAAGACAAGACGGUGACAUAAUUUGAAUGACAUUAGAGGCUGGAGGCUGUUGAAUUCAACAUCACUUGCACAAUGCAGUCUCACUUAUUACAUUGAUGCAUUACUUCCUCUUGUCAUAACCAGUUUAUGUUAUUUGAUAGGCGCUUUACAGCAACAAAGUUUUGGAAACUCGUAAUAAAUUCUAUGAAAACGAUCCCUGUGUAUGUAAAUUGAACACACUGAGUCACGCUUAACUUUCAUUGUGAUGCGAUGCCCCCAGGAGGUGAAGGAGCUGCAGGAAGUGAAGGAGGUGCAGGAGGGGCAGGAAAUGCAGGUCUGCAGCUGCUACCAGGACCUCUUCUUCUUGGCUUGAUGUUUGCUGUCGCCCGCCUGCUGCCAUCUACAGCUUAUUUAUAGCCUCCCUGUUUAUCAUGAGUGCAGACACAUUGAUCCUGUUAUUGUAAAACUGUGAAUAUGUUUAUGAAAUGUAGCCUGACAAGUGAUACAGUGGUCAUCUGAUUAAUCAUCUGGCCAAUAAUGACUUUCUUUUUCCAGCUUUUGUCAACAAAUAGUGAUCUUGCAUUUUUAAAGUUAACACUUUGGGUAAGAGGCACAAUGUGAGAAUAUCAGUUCAUUUAAAUACAGUGCAAAAUUCAUAGUUCAUACAUUCUUGUCGUAAUAAAAAGCAUAGGUAAUGUAUAAAAUGUACAAACACAGAUUUAUAUUGGAUGUUGAUCAUCGCUGCUCCCUUCAAUUUAGUCAGUGAAGUCAGGUCAUUAGAGUCGAGCAGACAGCAGAAGCACAAUGUUUUUUUCUACUUUGUGACUAAAUGUUAUUUACAGCGAACUGAAGUUGCUGUGCCCACUCACAUGUGGCUUAUUUUGAUAGUCAGAUGGAAAUCCAUCACAUUUAGCACUAAUCAUUUUAUUCAACAAGCUAUUCAUUGAUUGUUAACUUAAGCCUUUAUAGAAAUGAAAUUUUUCUGCAACAAUUAUAGCUCAUUUGUAUUCACUUGGACUGUUACUGUUAGUGGGUGGGUGAAGUUAAUGCUGUACAUUUUCCGAUAUUGAGACUUUAUUUUCUCUAUUUAUGCACUAUCCAUAUUUCCAUGUCAGAUCGUGUGUAAAUAUCUUGAAAUUUGUGAAUAAAAUACAAUAAUGUUUGUACGCCAGUAAU
rnacentral:lncRNA from 1 species